AUUGAACGCUGGCGGAAUGCUUUACACAUGCAAGUCGAACGGCAGCACGGGGCAACCUGGUGGCGAGUGGCGAACGGGUGAGUAAUACAUCGGAACGUGCCCAAUCGUGGGGGGAUAACGUAGCGAAAGUUACGCUAAUACCGCAUACGAUCUACGGAUGAAAGCGGGGGAUCGCAAGACCUCGCGCGAUUGGAGCGGCCGAUGUCAGAUUAGGUAGUUGGUGGGGUAAAGGCUCACCAAGCCGACGAUCUGUAGCUGGUCUGAGAGGACGACCAGCCACACUGGGACUGAGACACGGCCCAGACUCCUACGGGAGGCAGCAGUGGGGAAUUUUGGACAAUGGGCGCAAGCCUGAUCCAGCCAUUCCGCGUGCAGGAUGAAGGCC
rnacentral:rRNA from 1 species